UACGUAGGGGGCAAGCGUUGUCCGGAUUUAUUGGGCGUAAAGAGCGUGUAGGCGGCUUUACAGGUCCGUUGUGAAAACUCGAGGCUCAACCUCGAGACGCCGGUGGAAACCGUAAAGCUAGAGUCCGGAAGAGGAGAGUGGAAUUCCUGGUGUAGCGGUGAAAUGCGCAGAUAUCAGGGAGAACACCCGUGGCGAAGGCGGCUCUCUGGGACGGUACUGACGCUGAGACGCGAAAGCGUGGGGAGCGAACAGG
rnacentral:rRNA from 1 species